GCCUCUUUUACUUGAUGCACGCUACAUGUUGCUAAUUUGCUAUGCGAUUGGCAAAUCUUAAAACCCGACCAAUCCACAUCGAGCUCAAGGUCUUAAUGAAGUUUAAGGAUCUCAGGCUAGAACCCACUCAGGCCUUCACGAAUCACGAUGAUGAUCAGACUAAGGAGCCCAAGAUGUUGUUUGCUCUGAUCCACUUCAGAAGAUGCCUACUAAGAUCCGACGCUUCUUUUGAGACUCCCUUCUAAGG